AUUGAACGCUGGCGGCAUGCCUAACACAUGCAAGUCGAACGGCAGCACGGGUGCUUGCUGCUCGUGGGGGGGGGCGGAGGGGGAAGUAAUACAUAGGCACAGGACCAUUCGUGGGGGAGGGCGCUGCGAAAGGCGGAUUAAUACCGCAUACGAAUUACUCGUCAAAGGGGGGGCCCGCGGUGCCUCGGCCUGUUGGGAUGGCAGAAGCCUAAUUAGGUGGUGCGUGGGGGAAAGGCCUAGCAAGGCGACGACCAUUAGCGGGUCUGAGAGUGCGACCAGCCACCCUGGAACUGAGACACGGCCCAGACUCCUACGGGAGGCAGCAGUGGGGAAUUUUGGACAAUGGGCGAAAGCCUGAUCCAGCACUGCCGCGUGUGUGAAGAAGGCCUUCGGGUUGUAAAGCACUUUUGUCCGGAAAGAAAUACUUCGCCUUAAUACGGUCGGGGUAUGACGGUACCGGAAGAAUAAGCACCGGCUAACUACGUG
rnacentral:rRNA from 1 species